AGCAGCCGCGGUAAUUCUAGCUCCAAUAGCGUAUAUUAAAGUUGUUGCAGUUAAAAAGCUCGUAGUUGAAUUUCGGGAUCUAUCCGUCGGUCGGGCCUCACGGUCCGCACUGGUGUGAUGGAUUCUUACCUUCUGAACAUCCGGUAUGCCAUUAAUUUGAUGUGCCGGGGAAGCAGAACCAUUACCUUGAAAAAUUAGAGUGCUCAAAGCAGGCUUGUGCCUGAAUACAUUAGCAUGGAAUAAUAAAAUAGGACGGCAUGGUUCUAUUUUGUUGGUUUCUAGGAUCACCGUAAUGAUUAAUAGGGAUAGUUGGGGGCAUUAGUAUUCAAUUGUCAGAGGUGAAAUUCUUGGAUUUAUUGAAGUACUAACUUCUGCGAAAGCAUUUGCCUAAGGAUGUUUUCAUUAAUCAAAGAACGAAAGUUAGGGGAUCGAAGACGAUCAGAUACCGUCGUAGUCUUAACCAUAAACUAUGACCGACUACGGGAUCGGGACGAUGUUAAUUUAUAAUCGACUCGUUCGG
rnacentral:rRNA from 1 species